rnacentral:rRNA from 1 species
GUCUACGGCCAUACCAACCUGAACGCACCCGAUCUCGUCUGAUUUUGGAAGCUAAGCAGGGUAGGGCCUGGUUAGUACUUGAAUGCGAGUUGAUUUUAUUCUUGGUGAGUUC